UACGGGGGGGAGCAAGCGUUGUUCGGAUUUACUGGGCGUAAAGGGCGCGUAGGCGGCCACCGCAAGUCAGUUGUGAAAUCUCUGGGCUUAACCCAGAAAGGUCAACUGAUACUGCGGGGCUAGAGUGCAGAAGGGGCAACUGGAAUUCUCGGUGUAGCGGUGAAAUGCGUAGAUAUCGAGAGGAACACCUGCGGCGAAGGCGGGUUGCUGGGCUGACACUGACGCUGAUGCACGAAAGCGUGGGGAGCGAACCGG
rnacentral:rRNA from 1 species